CAGCCGCCGCGGGAAUACGAAGGGGGCUAGCGUUGCUCGGAAUGACUGGGCGUAAAGGGCGCGUAGGCGGCGGCCAAAGUCAGGCGUGAAAUUCCUGGGCUCAACCUUGGGGCUGCGCUUGAUACUUGGUUGCUUGAGUGGGGAAGAGGGUCGUGGAAUUCCCAGUGUAGAGGUGAAAUUCGUAGAUAUUGGGAAGAACACCGGUGGCGAAGGCGGCGACCUGGUCCUUGACUGACGCUGAGGCGCGAAAGUGUGGGGAGCAAACAGGAUUAGAUACCCCGGUAGUCCCUGUCUCUUAUAC
rnacentral:rRNA from 1 species